rnacentral:rRNA from 1 species
AGCAUAUCAAUAAGCGGAGGAAAAGAAACCAACAGGGAUUGCCUUAGUAACGGCGAGUGAAGCGGCAACAGCUCAAAUUUGAAAGCUGGCCCUUUCAGGGUCCGCAUUGUAAUUUGUAGAGGAUGAUUCGGCGAGGGCUCCCGCCUAAGUCCCCUGGAACGGGGCGUCAUAGAGGGUGAGAAUCCCGUAUGCGGUGGGCUGCCUUAGCCAUGUGAAUCUCCUUCGACGAGUCGAGUUGUUUGGGAAUGCAGCUCUAAAUGGGAGGUAAAUUUCUUCUAAAGCUAAAUACCGGCCAGAGACCGAUAGCGCACAAGUAGAGUGAUCGAAAGAUGAAAAGCACUUUGGAAAGAGAGUUAAAAAGUACGUGAAAUUGUUGAAAGGGAAGCGCUUGCAACCAGACUUGUCCGCAGUUGCUCAGCCGGUCUCCUGACCGGCGUACUCUUCUGCGGCCAGGCCAGCAUCAGUUCGGGCGGUCGGAUAAAGACCUCGGGAAUGUAGCUCCUCUCGGGGAGUGUUAUAGCCCGGGGUGGAAUGCGGCCAGCCNGGACUGAGGAUCUCGCUUCGGCAAGGAUGCUGGCGUAAUGGUUGUAAGCGGCCCGUCUUGAAACACGGACCAAGGAGUCUAACAUCUAUGCGAGUGUUUGGGUGUCAAACCCAUACGCGUAAUGAAAGUGAACGGAGGUGGGAACCCGCAAGGGUGCACCAUCGGCCGAUCCUGAUGUCUUCGGAUGGAUUUGAGCAAGAGCAUAGCUGUUGGGACCCGAAAGAUGGUGAACUAUGCCUGAAUAGGGUGAAGCCAGAGGAAACUCUGGUGGAGGCUCGCAGCGGUUCUGACGUGCAAAUCGAUCGUCAAAUUUGGGUAUAGGGGCGAAAGACUAAUCGAACCAUC